AUGAAGAAAAUUGAAGAGCGUGCAGCUGAGAAGUCUGCCCGCCCGUCAAAGAUCGACUGGGUCGAAGCUGGUGUUGUCUCUCCGGUCGUGAGGAACCAAAAAGGUUGCGGCUGCUGUUGGGCCAUGGCUGCUGUAGCCUCGGUCGAAGCAGUACACAAUCUGAAGACCUCACAGUCAAUCUCCCUAUCAGUUCAAGAGCUCAUUGACUGCAACUUCAACAUACUGAACAGAGGCUGCCAGCAUGGCACAACUGAUUUGCUGAAUUACAAAGGAGGCAUCAUGGACUAUGAAACCUUGCCAGAAGAAACUAAAAGGCACGCGGUCUUGAUUGUGGGUUAUGGCACGGAUCCCGACGGUGUUAAGUAUUGGCGCUUUAAAAACUCAUGGGGAGAGGGUUGGGGCGAGGGUGGGUUUGGGAGGAUACGCAGACAUGUUGCCGACAAGAGAGGUGUCUUGGGUAUAUUUAUGAAGCCAGGGCUGUAUCCGGUGCUUAAUAUCUGA
rnacentral:rRNA from 1 species